GAGACAGAAUCUUGCUCUGUCACACACACACACACACACACGCAAAGUUCAAAUUGCAGAUUUCAAACUAGCUUUAAAAUAUAACGAACCAAGCACAUCAAAUAUACUAAAUAAUGUAAUAACUUAGACACCUUUGCCCAUCAUAUUAAAAAUAAAAAAAAAAAACACAACCUUUCUUAGUGAAAAAAUUUUAUCUAAUAGUGUCAAGCCAUUGAUUCAAUGACCCCACCUUUUCUGGGUUAUUUUAAAAAUGGGAAGAGGGCCAGGUGCGGUGGCUCAUGCUUACAAUCCCAGCACUUUGGGAGGCUAAGGAUUAUAGGCGUGAGCCACCAUGUUUGUCCAGCAAAGUCAAUUUGAAUGUCACAUCUAGCCCCCAAAAUGGUGUCAGAAUGGAAACAUCUCAGUGUGACAAACUAGAUGAACUACAGAAUUUAGCAGACUCAUUACCCAAAGAAAAUGAGGCUUAGGCUAAAAAACAAAACAGAUACACAAAUAUGUAACAAACAAGUAUUAACUUGAAUUGCAAAGGGAAAAUCGAUUUACAUGAGAACAUUAAACUACUGCCACUAUCAUCAGAUGUAUUACUGCCAUGGUAAGAACUCUGGGUUCAUACACAUUUAAUAAGUAAAUAAAUGUAUCUAUAAUUGUAAGAUUUGGGGAAGCUAAUUGCUAGUAAUUUGCCAUAAAACUUAAGUUCAUUACUGACCCUGAUGGAGAAAAUGAGAAAGGCUUGCUGAACUGCCCAGAAGCAGAUGGGGUCGAAGUCACAGCUGUUUCUAUCUUGGCUGUCCCUGAAAUUAUGAAAAAACAAAAAAACAAAAAAAACAAAAAGAAUAUUACAAAAAGACAGAAACACUGUUCCAGUGUAUAAUUCCCUGUAGCUCAGCCUGUGAGGUGCUGCUUAGCACCGCAUGUGCCUUCUGUGACACAUCAGUGGCCAUGGGGAGUGAGCACGUUGCCUCACUUGUGUUCGAGGUCUCUGAAAUUGCUCCGUGGCUCUGUCAAUGUUAAUUCCAGUCUAAGGUGUGCCAUCUUCUCCUUUACAGAAAAUAUAUCAAAAUAAUUCUAGUAUAGUUUAAAUGUACAGUUUUAAAAGUAUACUCUUAUAUAUUUCAAUGGUAUGGGAAAAUGCUUAUAAUGUGAGGCUAAGCCCCCUCCCCACAAAAGUAAAUAAAACUAUAUAUAAUGUAGCUUUAUAAUUAUUUGAAAUUAAUCUAUGCUGAAGGACGAAAAUCCAAAAGAGAAAUAGGUUCAUAAGCUAAAUAUUUCUGAGUAGUGACUUUAAGGCUGUUUACUUCUAUGUACAUUUCUGCAUUUUCCAUAGAUUUUGUUGGCAUUUAACAAAUAAUCGUGUUCUUUUUUUAAAAUUACAGAUGUAAAACAUGAUUGCUAUAAUAUGGAGACAUGCAAGAAGGUUAAAAGUGCAAUCCAUCAUUCUCCCCAUGUUUGAUUUCACUCUAACUACUUACUUAUAGUUUGGGUACAAUCUUCAAUCUUUUCCCUACUGCUCUACUUUAUUUAUUUAUUUAUUUAUUUAUUUAGAGACAGAGUCUCGCUCUGUCGCCCAGGCUGGAGUGCAGUGGCGCAAUCUUGACUCACUGCAAUCUCUGCCUCCCAGGUUCAAGCGAUUCUCCUGCCUCAGCCUCCCAAGCAGCUGGAACUAUAGGCAUGCACCACCAUGCCCGGCUAAUUUUGGUAUUUUUUUUUUAGUAGAGACAGGGUUUCAUCACGUUGGCCAGGCUGGUCUCGAAUUCCUGACUUCAGGUGAUCCACCUGCCUUGGCCUCCCAAAGUGCUAGGAUUACAGACAUGAGCCACCACGCCUGGCCUUGCUCCACUUCAAAAGGGGGAAAGGGAAGAGGAAAACUAUUUAAAAAGCCCAAAUCAAACGAAACUAAACCAAACAACAACAAGGAAAAAAAAAAAACCAACCUUCUAAAAUAAACAAACACAGAGUAGAUGGCAGUACAAAUAUUUUUAAAACUACUGGUAUACAAUGUAAAAUGUACAGGAUGAAAAGUCACAAUCUAAAUCAUCAGCAGAGUACUAGUUAAGUUUAACAGGGUGUAACUACACAAUGAGGUUGUAGACAGCUCUUAAAAUGAGUAAGGUGGAUCUGUAUCAGACCUGCAGGGACCAAGACAUUUAUUGUAAGAGGGGGCAGAGAAGGGGAAAUAAGUUACAAAAUCAAUAUAUAUAGGAUAUGCAGUAUAUAGGAUAUUUUUCUUUAAAAAACAAUGAAGUAACCUCAAGAGAUAUACAUGAAAUCAUGAUCUCUGGAAUACAGAAUCUAUAGGGCAGCUUUCACAUUCUACAUUAUAUAUCUCUACACCAUAGACUUUUUCUGGGCAUGUAAUAGUUUUACAAUCAGAAAAACAAUGAAGGUAUUUCCAUUACUAAUAAGAGAACUAUUCUCUAGAGGUUUUAGAAAUGCUCUUUUUCAAAAAGAAACUUUUUGCAAACUCUUAAGCAGCACCUUUCAGAGAAGUUUUCCUACCAAAAGAAAAAAGUUCUUUUCUAAACCUUGAUUACCUGGCAAGUGAAAACAGAAGUGAACACCUCGUAAUGAAAGAGAGGAUUUCAUGAUCAGCAAUGAAUGGUGAAUCUCGGAAAUUUCUUGCAAGUCACACUACUUGCCCAGACAUGCAUAAAGCAAAGUUCCUUAGGUUUCUUUGAUUCUAACUCCAAGAGUGACAAAAACCUCUCCAAUGAAGUCCUUGAAAAAAGAGUAUAUGAUCUUUCAAAACCUUUUUGUAAAAUACUCAAGUCUUUGACAGUUCUACUAUAAAAUUUUCCUUUUAACAUAAAGCUUUAGGCCCCGGUCGAGAAGUGCUAGAUACCUCCUUCUCAUGUGAGGCGUACAUGAUACCAACUGUGGUUCCAUAUCACUCCGAAUUCUAGAAUACAACUCUGGCUUAUGCAAUAAUGGCUUCCUUCUGCAAGGAAUAGCUACUAAAGAUAAAUCCAGUAUCCAAUCAGAAAGUUUGGGAUUACAGAGAAAGUCAGAAUGACUGUAUGAUUAAGAUUAUGAGACGCAGGCUGCUAAUGUAUGAAGUUCAAUUUCUAACAGAAUUUGCUUGAAGGCCCACUUAAGAGCAUGAUU
rnacentral:antisense_RNA from 1 species